rnacentral:misc_RNA from 1 species
GAUGAAGAACGUAGCGAAAUGCGAUACUUGGUGUGAAUUGCAGAAUCCCGUGAACCAUCGAGUCUUUGAACGCAAGUUGCGCCUCAAGCCAUUAGGUUGAGGGCACGUCUGCCUGGGCGUCACAUAUCGUUGCCUGAUGCCAGUUUCCUCGUGAUGGGUGACUGUGCAGGGCGAAUGAUGGCUUCCCGUGAGCAUUGUUGCCUCAUGGUUGGUUGAAAAUUGAGUCCUUGGUAGGGAGCGCCGUGAUAGAUGGUGGUUGAGUGACGAACGAGACCCAAUCAUGUGAGACCCCUACCGAAUUUGGCCUUCAUGACCCACAUGCGUCUUUGGAACGCUCAUGACGAGACCUCAGGUCAGGCGGGGCUACCCGCUGAGUUUAAGCAUAUCAAUAAGCGAGGA